rnacentral:rRNA from 1 species
GGGAUUGCCCCAGUAACGGCGAGUGAAGCGGCAACAGCUCAAAUUUGAAAUCUGGCCCUAGGCCCGAGUUGUAAUUUGUAGAGGAUGCUUUUGGUAAGGCUGCUGCUCAAGUCCCCUGGAACGGGGCGCCUUAGAGGGUGAGAGCCCCGUACGGUAUGCGGCCGAACCUCUGUAAAGCUCCUUCGACGAGUCGAGUAGUUUGGGAAUGCUGCUCUAAAUGGGAGGUAAAUUUCUUCUAAAGCUAAAUACCGGCCAGAGACCGAUAGCGCACAAGUAGAGUGAUCGAAAGAUGAAAAGCACUUUGAAAAGAGGGUUAAAUAGCACGUGAAAUUGUUGAAAGGGAAGCGCUUGUGACCAGACUUGCGCCCGGCGGAUCAUCCGGCGUUCUCGCCGGUGCACUCCGCCGGGCUCAGGCCAGCAUCGGUUUUCGCCGGGGGACAAAAGCUUCGGGAACGUAGCUCCCUUCGGGGAGUGUUAUAGCUCGUUGCAUAAUACCCCGGCGGGGACCGAGGACCGCGCUUCGGCAAGGAUGCUGGCGUAAUGGUCAUCAGCGACCCGUCUUGAAACACGGACCAAGGAGUCAAGCAUUAGUGCGAGUGUUUGGGUGUAAAACCCGCACGCGUAAUGAAAGUGAACGUAGGUGAGAGCUUCGGCGCAUCAUCGACCGAUCCUGAUGUUUUCGGAUGGAUUUGAGUAGGAGCAUUAACGCUUGGACCCGAAAGAUGGUGAACUAUACUUGAAUAGGGUGAAGCCAGAGGAAACUCUGGUGGAGGCUCGCAGCGGUUCUGACGUGCAAAUCGAUCGUCAAAUUUG